rnacentral:rRNA from 1 species
UACGGGGGGGGCAAGCGUUGUUCGGAAUUACUGGGCGUAAAGGGCUCGUAGGUGGUCAACUAAGUCGGACGUGAAAUCCCUCGGCUUAACCGGGGAACUGCGUCCGAUACUGGAUGACUUGAGUUCGGGAGAGGGAUGCGGAAUUCCAGGUGUAGCGGUGAAAUGCGUAGAUAUCAAGCGGAACACCAGUGGCGAAGGCGAGUCCCUGGACAACUCCUGACACUGAUGCACGAAAGCUAGGGGAGCAAACAGG